rnacentral:sRNA from 1 species
CAACCGCUCAGAAUAGGUUAAAGUGAUUUUUAAUCCACCUACAUGGCGUGUCUUAUUAUUC